GACGAACGCUGGCGGCGUGCCUAAUACAUGCAAGUAGAACGAGUUGCGAACGGGUGAGUAACGCGUGGUAACCUGCCGCAUAGCGGGGGAUAACUAUUGGAACCGUUAGCUAAUACCGCAAACUGUGAGAUGGACCUGAGGUGUAUUAGCUAGUAGGUAGGGUACCGGCUCACCUAGGCGACGAUCCCUAGCUGGUCUGAGAGGAUGACCAGCCACACUGGAACUGCGACACGGUCCAGACUCCUACGGGAGGCAGCAGUGGGGAAUAUUUCAAAAUGGGCGCAAGCCUGAUGCAGCCAUGCCGCGUGUAUGAAGAAGGCCUUCGGGUUGUAAAGUACUUUCAGCGAGGAGGCGUUACUCGCAGAAGAAGCACCGGCUAACUCCGUGCCAGCAGCCGCGGUAAUUC
rnacentral:rRNA from 1 species